CAGGACAGGUACAGCACAGGCAGCGACAGUGCAAGCAUUCCCCGUACCACCACAUCCAUGUGGCUCAACCCUGACCUGGAGGGACCACCUCUAGA
rnacentral:sRNA from 1 species